rnacentral:rRNA from 1 species
GAUGAACGCUGGCGGCGUGCCUAAUACAUGCAAGUCGAGCGAACAGACGAGGAGCUUUCUCCUCUGACGUUAGCGGCGGACGGGUGAGUAACACGUGGAUAACCUACCUAUAAGACUGGGAUAACUUCGGGAAACCGGAGCUAAUACCGGAUAAUAUAUUGAACCGCAUGGUUCAAUAGUUAAAGACGGUUUUGCUGUCACUUAUAGAUGGAUCCGCGCCGCAUUAGCUAGUUGGUAAGGUAACGGCUUACCAAGGCGACGAUGCGUAGCCGACCUGAGAGGGUGAUCGGCCACACUGGAACUGAGACACGGUCCAGACUCCUACGGGAGGCAGCAGUAGGGAAUCUUGCGCAAUGGGCGAAAGCCUGACGGAGCAACGCCGCGUGAGUGAUGAAGGUCUUCGGAUCGUAAAACUCUGUUAUUAGGGAAGAACAAAUGUGUAAGUAACUAUGCACGUCUUGACGGUACCUAAACAGAAAGCCACGGCUAACUACGUG